rnacentral:lncRNA from 1 species
AACUAGAGAACUCUCAGGAAACUUCCUCUCUUCCCACCAAAAAUAGUUAUAUAGUUAUCCUUGGGCGAUCGUGGAUCUUAAUUAGUACACUCACGUUCCCUGUGGAAAAUCGAUACUCUGGAAUACUCCCAGGUGAAAGCUACAUCGGUAUCCGUGCGCUUGCGGAUUUUUCUGUUUGCGUUUAAAAUACCCAACAGGGUGAGAAAGAAGGCAAUGUCACUAUGCCUUAUACCACAAAUACCACAUAUCUUGAGAGAAGGCAUAUACCAUCACUGCCUUGGUAAGGAUCUAGAAAUACCACAAAAGAGAGAUUUAGAGAGUCAUACAAGGAAUCUCUGAGUUUUAUUUGAAAAUCUGCAAAAACUCCAGAGCUAUAGCUGAUCAAGAAUAAGAGACAUGGCACUUGGCUAGACUGUUCUAUCUUUUAACUACUCAAGACAGAAGUGACGGUUACAAGUCCC